AAUCCCAGAUCUAGUCUAGUUUUAGCAGCGACAUCAGGGAACAGUGGUACCACACUUACGGUGCAAACCAACAUUUAUGCCGUUAGUCAAGGUUGGCUUCCUACUAAUAAUACACAACCUUUUGUGACAACCAUUGUUGGGCUAUAUGGUCUGUGCUUGCAAGCAAAUAGUGGACAAGUAUGGAUAGAGGACUGUAGCAGUGAAAAGGCUGAACAACAGUGGGCUCUUUAUGCAGAUGGUUCAAUACGUCCUCAGCAAAACCGAGAUAAUUGCCUUACAAGUGAUUCUAAUAUACGGGAAACAGUUGUCAAGAUCCUCUCUUGUGGCCCUGCAUCCUCUGGCCAACGAUGGAUGUUCAAGAAUGAUGGAACCAUUUUAAAUUUGUAUAGUGGGUUGGUGUUAGAUGUGAGGGCAUCGGAUCCGAGCCUUAAACAAAUCAUUCUUUACCCUCUCCAUGGUGACCCAAACCAAAUAUGGUUACCAUUAUUUUGAUAGACAGAUUACUCUCUUGCAGUGUGUAUGUCCUGCCAUGAAAAUAGAUGGCUUAAAUAAAAAGGACAUUGUAAAUUUUGUAACUGAAAGGACAGCAAGUUAUUGCAGUCCAGUAUCUAAUAAGAGCACAGCUAUUGUCUUGUGCAUUCUAAAUUUAUGGAUGAAUUGUAUGAAUUAAGCUAAUUAUUUUGGUCAUCAGACUUGAUAUCUUUUUGAAUAAAAUAAAUAAUAUGUUUUUUCAAAAUUAUAAAACUAUGAAUGAUAUGAAUAUAAUGCGGAGACUAGUCAAUCUUUUAUGUAAUUCUAUGAUGAUAAAAGCUUGUCUCUUAACUUAGUGAAUUUGUAUCCAAGUAAAAAACAACCUACUAAGUCAUGGAUUCCUUCAAAUUUACGCUCUUAUUAUAAGCUUAAUUUUCAUCCACGAUCAUCCCUAUUCAUGUGAUGCACAAGAACUUAAGGUAUAUAGAUUUGAAGUAAUUCCUUAAUUAUAAUUUUUAAGUUUAUCACUUUCUUUACUUUCUAAUUUCUUUUUCUCAAAUUGUACUAAUUAACUCAUUGAAGAAUUUAACAACUUGUUCAUCAGUUCCAUAGUAAUUCUCAAUAAAUUUAUGGUCUCACAACUCAAGCAUCCAUGGGUUCAUAAGUUGUGAUAAUCAGGCAGCUUCAUAUAUAUUGAAAUUAACAUAAGGAGUGAAGUGGGUUGAGCAAUGCUUGUAAGAUUGUCCAAAUACAACACAAUUGAGUAAGACGGAUCGGGUCAAAUUAUCUAUUUGUUGUGGUGAUUAUUCAAGGACCCCAUCAGGCGUAAAGUUAAUGUCCAAGACAAAGGUCUAUGUACCUUUCCCUGGCUGGAACUUAAUUCCGACUAUACGGAGUUUAUCAACAGGUUGGAUGAAUUCAAGAAAUUCACUACAGAGUACUGGCUGGAACUUAUUAUUUUUGUCAUUGAGUUCUGAAACAUAGUAAUUUUAGUCUCUAUAAUAUUAACAAAUGAGGGACUAAAAUACUUUUCUUUUCUUAAAUAUGAUUCUAUUUUAAAAAGCGGGAGAUAGAAAAAUCUAUAUAAUUUCUUGCUAAAAAAAGUAAGGACAAUUUUAUUUAAUUCUAAGAAUUAGGUACAACAGAAGAUCUGCACCAGAUCCUAGCGUAAUUACACUUGAGAAUAGUUGGGGGAGACUUUCCACUGCAAUUCAAGAGUCUAACCAAGGAGCCUUUGCUAGUCCAAUUCAACUGCAAAGACGUAAUGGUUCCAAAUUCAAUGUGUACGAUCUAUGAUUGCAAUACUGCUGCAACUGAUGCCACCCGCUGGCAAAUAUGGGAUAAUAGAACCAUCAUAAAUCCGAGAUCUAGUCUAGUUUUAGCAGCGACAUCAGGGAACAGUGGUACCACACUUACAGUGCAAACCAACAUUUAUGCCGUUAGUCAAGGUUGGCUUCCUACUAAUAAUACACAACCUUUUGUGACGACCAUUGUUGGGCUAUAUGGUCUGUGCUUUCAAGCAAAUAGUGGACCAGUAUGGUUAGAGGACUGUAGCAGUGAAAAGGCUGAACAACAGUGGGCUCUUUAUGCA
rnacentral:lncRNA from 1 species